rnacentral:misc_RNA from 1 species
GAUGAAGAACGUAGCGAAAUGCGAUAAGUAGUGUGAAUUGCAGAAUUCAGUGAAUCAUCGAAUCUUUGAACGCACAUUGCGCCCGCCGGUAUUCCGGCGGGCAUGCCUGUCCGAGCGUCAUUUCACCACUCAAGCCCAGCUUGGUGUUGGGGCACCCGGCCGCCUGGCGGCCGGGGCCCCCAAGUACAUCGGCGGUCCCGCUGGGGGCACCGAGCGCAGUAGCUCGCGGUAAAACGCGCCCUCGCUCGGCGGCCUCUUCGGGCUUCCAGCCGCUAAACCCGCGUCCACCGACGCCCUUUCGAGUUGACCUCGGAUCAGGUAGGAAUACCCGCUGAACUUAAGCAUAUAAAAGCGGAGGA